rnacentral:lncRNA from 1 species
CUCAUUUUGUGACUGGUACGAGCAUGUCUGAGGGCUCUACGGAGUAAAGCGCAGUGUGUGUAGGGCCAACAUGCAAAAAGGGAUCUCAUUUUUAUGGACAGAAGAGGGAAACAGUUUUUCAAGGCAAAUCUACUAAAAUGAUACUUGUCAUCGAAUGGAAUUUGUUCCAGCCUAGGCUGAGGAGUGGAUGAGCUCAUUCUUCUGAAACACUGCACUUGUUGUCUUGGUGUAUUUAAGGAACAUCCAAAUGCUUCAGUCUAGACCUGGACUUUCAUUGCAGCAGAGCAGAACAGGAGCUAUA